GAUGAAGAACGUAGUGAAAUGCGAUAAGUAGUGUGAAUUGCAGAAUUCAGUGAAUCAUCGAAUCUUUGAACGCACAUUGCGCCCUUUGGUAUUCCAAAGGGCAUGCCUGUUCGAGCGUCAUUUGUACCCUCAAGCUUUGCUUGGUGUUGAGCGUCUUGUCUCUAGCUUUGCUGGAGACUCGCCUUAAAGUAAUUGGCAGCCGGCCUACUGGUUUCGGAGCGCAGCACAAGUCGCACUCUCUAUCAGCAAAGGUCUAGCAUCCAUUAAGCCUUUUUUUUCAACUUUUGACCUCGGAUCAGGUAGGGAUACCCGCUGAACUUAAGCAUAUCAAUAAGCGGAGGA
rnacentral:misc_RNA from 1 species